GACGAACGCUGGCGGCGUGCUUAACACAUGCAAGUCGAACGGAAAGGCCCUGCUUUUGUGGGGUGCUCGAGUGGCGAACGUGUGAGUAACACGUGAGUAACCUUCCCUUGACUUUGGGAUAACUUCAGGAAACUGGGGCUAAUACCGGAUAGGAGCUCCUGAUGCAUGGUGGGGGUUGGAAAGUUUCGUCGGUUGUGGAUGGACUCGCGGCUUAUCAGCUUGUUGGUGGGGUAGUGGCUUACCAAGGCUUUGAUGGGUAGCCGGCCUGAGAGGAUGACCAGGCACACGGGAAGUGAGACACGGUCCAGACUACGACGGGACGAAGCAGUGGGGAAUAUUGAACAGUGGGCGAAAGCCGGGCCCAGCCAGGGCGAGUGUGUGAAGAAGGUCUUCGGAUUGUAAAGCACGUGAAUUUGGGAAGAAGGGCAGUAAGUUAAUACGUUGCUGUUGUGACGGUAGCAGCAGAAUAAGCACCGGCUAACUUCGUG
rnacentral:rRNA from 1 species